rnacentral:lncRNA from 1 species
UGGGAUACAAGUUUCCAGGAGGUCCGGUUAUGUAUAUGUAGGAGGAUGGGGAGGGUGGUGGGGGACAAUUCUGCGAGGGUGGUUUCUUUGGAGACGGCGGUGGUGGUGAGGGUGGCGGGGGACAGUUUUGUGGAGGCGGAGGCGGCGGUGGAGCGUAGCCACCACAUGACGGUGCACACUUUACAUCAGUGUCGUUUGUUGUAGGCAUUGUUGUCUCGUCAAGUUUUCUCGAUUCAACGCCGU